rnacentral:rRNA from 1 species
UGGGGAAUAUUGGACAAUGGGCGAAAGCCUGAUCCAGCCAUGCCGCGUGAGUGACGAAGGCCUUAGGGUUGUAAAACUCUUUCGUCGGGGACGAUAAUGACGGUACCCGAAGAAGAAGCUCCGGCUAACUUCGUGCCAGCAGCCGCGGUAAUACGAAGGGAGCUAGCGUUGUUCGGAAUCACUGGGCGUAAAGCGCACGUAGGCGGAUAGUUAAGUCAGGGGUGAAAUCCUGGGGCUCAACCUGGGAAUUGCAUUGGAUACUGGCAGGCUAGAGUGCGGUAGAGGAUGGCGGAAUUCCCGGUGUAGCAGUGAAAUGCGUAGAGAUCGGGAGGAACAUCUGUGGCGAAGGCGGCCAUCUGGACCAGCACUGACACUGAGGCACGAAAGCGUGGGGAGCAAACAGGAUUAGAUACCCCCGUAGUCCCUGAGCGGGCUGGCAAGGCGCAU